UACGUAGGGGGCAAGCGCUGUCCGGAUUUAUUGGGCGUAAAGAGCGUGUAGGCGGCCUGAAAGGUCAGCUGUGAAAACUCGAGGCUCAACCUCGAGACGUCGGUUGAAACCAUCUGGCUAGAGUCCGGAAGAGGAGUGUGGAAUUCCCGGUGUAGCGGUGAAAUGCGCAGAUAUCGGGAAGAACACCCGUGGCGAAGGCGGCACUCUGGGACGGUACUGACGCUGAGACGCGAAAGCGUGGGGAGCGAACAGG
rnacentral:rRNA from 1 species